AGAGGGUGGGGAGGGGUAUUACUCAGAAGGGUGGUGGGAAUGGGUGAUUGGCUGAUAGGUGACGUCAACAGGUUUACCACACCUAUCAGCCAAUCACCCAUUCCCACCACCCUUCUGAGUAAUACCCCUCCCCACCCUCUC